AAAGAAACUGUGAGAAAAACAAGAGCUAUAAUCAUGCAUGCAACUACAGUACAACCAAGAAUCCACAAAAGAUUAUGCAAAAAGUACCAUCAGCUUGCCAAGAAUAACCAAAAAUUAGACAUUUAAAAUAAAUUGUUUUAUUGAAUGUUAAGUCCAAAGCUAUUUCGAAAGUUCUCGAUUUCCCCCAUAUUCCUACCAGUGUCAUGAACUUGAAAAUUGGGGAUAAUCGGCUUCAGAAAUUUGAACUCAUUUGUCCCGGAACCUCCUGUCAGACACACCUCGUAUUGGUAGCUCUGGGACAGGGUCCCGGUGCCGCUCACGUCCACCAGAUGCCCUGGAAAGGGACCCUCGGGCACCGAGCAGCGACCCACCGAGGCCGCCCUGCUCCUCCUGCACAGCCGCACCGCCACGAACAGGGUGUAGGAGGUUUGGGUGAAGGUGGGGGCGUUGUCAUUGACGUCAGAGAGCAGCACGGUUAUGUUGUACUCGGUUUUCAGCCUGGGUGUCCCCAAGUCUGUGACGGUGAUCGUGAUGUUGUACUCGGCUUGGCUCUCUCUGUCCAGUGCUUUUUCAGAAACUAGAGUGAAAAAGUUCUUGAAGGUCGGUUUCAGGAAAAAAGGGAGGUUAUCUUGAAUAGAGCAAAUCAUCCUCCCAUUGUCUCCAGAGUCUUGGUCUAGGAUACUAAAAAGAGCUACUAGGGUCUCUGAGGCAUUCUCUGGAAUUCUCUUUGUAAUCGACGAUAUGGUCACUUCUGGUGGGUUGUCGUUUAUAUCCAUAACUUUAACUAGAAGGGUGCAUUUUCCUGAAAGACCCCCACCAUCUGUUGCCUGAAUAUUUAUAGUGUAGGACUGUAUUACUUCAAAAUCCAGGGGUGAUCUCAAAUUAACUUCCCCAGAUAUUGGAUUAAUUUCAAAUGUUUUACGAAUAUCUUCUGAUGCAUGGAAAAAUGUGUAAGAUAUUUUUCCAUAGUUUCCUGCAUCCAGAUCCUUAGCUGAGAUGGUGGCAAUCCAGGAGCCAAGGGGUCUGUCCUCGGGGACUUGCACCUCAUAGAGACUCUGAGGAAACUCAGGGGCAUUAUCAUUGAUGUCCAACACCUUGAUGAGAACCAAAGUUGUCCCAGACUUGGGCGGGGAUCCACCAUCCACUGCUGUGAGUGUUAAUCUGAGUUCAGCUUCCUGUUCAUAAUCUAAAGCUCUAUCUAGGACCAGCUCUGGGUAUAUCUUUCUGUCACUACUGUCGGGAAUUUUAAUGUAGAAGUGAGAAUUGGGGCUAAUUGUGUAGUUUUGGAGACUGUUGCUUCCGACAUCCAAAUCUUGAGCACUCUCCAUUAGAAAGGUAGCUCCAACAGUGGUACCUUCUGAUAUUUUAAUAAGUAUUUCCUUGUCUAGAAAUGUAGGGGAGUGAUCAUUUAUGUCUUUGACACACAGCUCAAACCGAAAAAACUGUAAAGGGUUUUCCAAAACCACCUGAAAAUGCAGCACACAGGGCUCGGUGGAGCCACACAGCUCGUCUCGGUCUAGUUUCUCAUUUAGGAGCAAAUUCCCAGUCAGCAAAUCAAGGUGCAAAUACUUUUUAUUAUCAUCAGACACUACCCGGGCUUCACGUGAAGACAGCUCCUCCACCCCCAGCCCUAGGUCCCUCGCUAGAUUAGCCACAAAAGAGCCAAUUUCUGUUUCCUCUGCCACAGAAUAGUGUGCAGAUUCAGUACCUGCCCGAGACAAUCCCAGCAAAACAAGGAAUAUUAGAACUUGCCUUUUUCGCAGAUCGAGUGCCCCUCUGAUCUCCAUGGUUCCUUUAGGCAAUCUCUUGUGGAAAAACUGAAGCUCAGCCGUAAUUUUGGAAGCUGAAGCUCUGGUUUUUAACAGGAACCCCCUGGAGAGUGUAUCCUCCAGCAGCUCUGUAGGCGAAGCUCCUUUAAUGCCUGUCUUUUCAGUGGGUUGGAUGCUUUCU
rnacentral:lncRNA from 1 species